rnacentral:rRNA from 1 species
UCUAAUACCGGAUACGACCUGCCUCCGCAUGGGGGUGGGUGGAAAGCUCCGGCGGUGAAGGAUGAGCCCGCGGCCUAUCAGCUUGUUGGUGGGGUAAUGGCCUACCAAGGCGACGACGGG